rnacentral:rRNA from 1 species
CCUACGGGAGGCAGCAGUGGGGAAUAUUGGGCAAUGGAGGCAACUCUGACCCAGCAACGCCGCGUGAAUGAUGAAGGUCUUCGGAUUGUAAAGUUCUUUUCUAAGGGAAGAAGAAAGUGACGGUACCUUAGGAAUAAGCCUCGGCUAACUACGUGCCAGCAGCCGCGGUAAUACGGAGGAGGCAAGCGUUAGACGGAAUGACUGGGUGUAAAGGGUGCGUAGGGGGUUUGACAAGUUAGUAGCGAAACUCAGGGGCUCAACUUCGGAAUUACUACUAAGACUGUUGGACUUGAGUGAAGUAGAGGCAGGCGGAAUUCGUGGUGUAGCGGUGAAAUGCGUAGAUAUUACGAAGAACCCCGGUGGCGAAGGCGGCCUACUGGGCUUUUACUGACGCUGAGGCUCGAAAGCGUGGGUAGCAAACAGGAUUAGAUACCCGAGUAGUC